rnacentral:rRNA from 1 species
GGGAUAACACCUGGAAACAGGUGCUAAUACCGGAUAUGAACUUCCUCGGCAUCGGGGAGGUUGUAAAGCUCCGGCGGUCAAGGAUGGACUCGCGGCCUAUCAGCUUGUUGGUGAGGUAACGGCUCACCAAGGCUUCGACGGGUAGCCGGCCUGAGAGGGCGACCGGCCACAUUGGGACUGAGAUACGGCCCAAACUCCUACGGGAGGCAGCAGUGGGAAUAUUGCACAAUGGGCGAAAGCCUGAUGCAGCAACGCCGCGUGCGGGAUGACGGCCUUCGGGUUGUAAACCGCUUUCAGCAGGGACGAAGCGAAAGUGACGGUACCUGCAGAAGAAGCGCCGGCUAACUACGUGCCAGCAGCCGCGGUGAUACGUAGGGCGCAAGCGUUGUCCGGAAUUAUUGGGCGUAAAGAGCUUGUAGGCGGUUUGUCACGUCGGGAGUGAAAACUCAGGGCUCAACCCUGAGCCUGCUUCCGAUACGGGCAGACUUGAGGAAGGUAGGGGAGAAUGGAAUUCCUGGUGAAGCGGUGGAAUGCGUAGAUAUCAGGAGGAACACCAGUGGCGAAGGCGGUUCUCUGGACCUUUCCUGACGCUGAGAAGCGAAAGCGUGGGG